rnacentral:rRNA from 1 species
GAUCAUGGCUCAGGAUUAACGCUAGCGGCAGGCUUAACACAUGCAAGUCGAGGGGCAGCGCGGAGUAGCAAUACUCCGCCGGCGACCGGCGCACGGGUGCGUAACGCGUAUUCAACCUACCUUUAACAGGGGCAUAACACUGAGAAAUUGGUACUAAUUCCCCAUAACAUUCGAGAAGGCAUCUUCUUGGGUUAAAAACUCCGGUGGUUAAAGAUGGGCAUGCGUUGUAUUAGCUAGUUGGUGAGGUAACGGCU